AGAGACAGGUUUAUACCGACAACCUAUAGAGAGAAAGAGACAGGUUUUACCGACAACCUAUAGAGAGAAGAGACAGGUUAUACCAGACCUACAACCUAUAGAGAGUAGAGACAGGUUAUACCAGACCUACAACCUAUAGAGAGUAGAGACAGGUUAUCCCUACAACCUAUAGAGAGAAGAGACAGGUUAUACCAGACCUACAACCUAUAGAGAGUAGAGAAGGUGUAUCCCUACAAACCAUAUAGAGAGAGAGACAGGUUAUACCAAACAGGGACUGGUCCCAGGUGGUUAA
rnacentral:lncRNA from 1 species